AGUAGUCGCUACCAAGAAUCAAUCCCAAAAGGUCGGAGCGAGGCGAAAUUGGCUUUCAAACUAGGUUCUGGGUUCACACAAGACCUGAAUCAGGAACAAGGGCUAUUAGCUCAGGUGGUUAGAGCGCACCCCUGAUAAGGGUGAGGUCCCUGGUUCGAGUCCAGGAUGGCCCACCUGCACAGGUGGCAAAAAAAAGAAGCUCCGAAUCAGCACCUUAUCUUACUUAUAUAGUAAGAGAGAAUGCUGGCUCUGAGUUCAGAGUCCAGAGGAACCUUGAAAACUGCAUAGAGCUAGGUGAAAAAGCCAAAAAAGAAGACCGC
rnacentral:tRNA from 1 species